rnacentral:rRNA from 1 species
GGGGAAUAUUGCACAAUGGGCGCAAGCCUGAUGCAGCGACGCCGCGUGGGGGAUGACGGCCUUCGGGUUGUAAACUCCUUUCGCUAGGGACGAAGCUUUUUGUGACGGUACCUAGAUAAGAAGCACCGGCUAACUACGUGCCAGCAGUCGCGGUAAUACGUAGGGUGCGAGCGUUGUCCGGAAUUACUGGGCGUAAAGGGCUCGUAGGUGGUUUGUCGCGUCGUCUGUGAAAUUCCGGGGCUUAACUCCGGGCGUGCAGGCGAUACGGGCAUAACUUGAGUACUGUAGGGGUAACUGGAAUUCCUGGUGUAGCGGUGAAAUGCGCAGAUAUCAGGAGGAACACCGAUGGCGAAGGCAGGUUACUGGGCAGUUACUGACGCUGAGGAGCGAAAGCAUGGGUAGCGAACAGGAUUAGAUACCCUGGUAGUCCAUGCCGUAAACGGUGGGCGCUAGGUGUGAGGGUCUUUUCACGACUUUCGUGCCGUAGCUAACGCAUUAAGCGCCCCGCCUGGGGAGUACGGCCGCAAGGCUA